rnacentral:rRNA from 1 species
AACGAACGCUGGCGGCAUGCCUAACACAUGCAAGUCGAACGAGACCUUCGGGUCUAGUGGCGCACGGGUGCGUAACGCGUGGGAACCUGCCCUUAGGUUCGGAAUAACUCCCCGAAAGGGGUGCUAAUACCGGAUAAUGUCUUCGGACCAAAGAUUUAUCGCCUUUGGAUGGGCCCGCGUUGGAUUAGCUAGUUGGUAGGGUAAAAGCCUACCAAGGCGACGAUCCAUAGCUGGUCUGAGAGGAUGAUCAGCCACACUGGGACUGGGACACGGCCCAGACUCCUGCGGGUGGCAGCAGGGGGGAAUAUUGGACACUGGGCGAAAGCCUGAGCCAGCAAUGCCGCGUGAGUGAUGAAGGCCUUAGGGUUGUAAAGCUCUUUUACCCGGGAUGAUAAGGACAUAACCUGGAGAAUAAGCUCCGGCGACCUCCGU